rnacentral:lncRNA from 1 species
UUUUUGUUUUGUUUUUUUUUUAAUUAAACUGAAUAAAAGAAAAAGAAAAUAAGGAAGGGUAAAAAUGGAAUAACGAAUUCUCAUUAAUGAAGGAGGGGUAGAGAGAUUAAAAAGGGAGAUAGUGGAAUAAAAUUGUGAAAAAGGACAUGAGAGAUGUUACUAUCAUUUCCCUUUAUUUUCUAAAAAGAAGGAACAGUAACAUAAAAUUUAG